rnacentral:misc_RNA from 1 species
AACGAGGCCGACCUGCGGCUGAGUUACCUGCGGAAGGAUCAUUAUCGAGUGCAACCUACCCCGUAAAAAAGGGUGGUACCUCCCGUCCUUUGCAGGCCCCCCUUUUGAUGGGGGGCUUUUUAAGACUUUCUGCUUCGGCGGGGUUACUCCCGCCGGAACACCCUCAAAAAACUCUUGAUCAAAAACCGUUCAGUCCGAGAAUUUUUGAAAAUUAAAAAAAAAACUUUCAACAAUGGAUCU